rnacentral:rRNA from 1 species
CCUACGGGUGGCAGCAGUGGGGGAUAUUGCACAAUGGGGGAAACCCUGAUGCAGCGACGCCGCGUGGGUGAAGAAGCGCCUCGGCGCGUAAAGCCCUGUCAGCAGGGAAGAAAAUGACGGUACCUGCAGAAGAAGCCCCGGCUAACUACGUGCCAGCAGCCGCGGUAAUACGGAGGGGGCAAGCGUUAUCCGGAUUGACUGGGUGUAAUGGGGGCGCAGACGGCGAUGCAAGCCAGGAGUGAAAGCCCGGGGCCCAACCCCGGGACUGCACUUGGAACUGCGUGGCUAGAGUGCGGGAGGGGCAGGCGGAAUUCCUGGUGUAGCGGUGAAAUGCGUAGAUAUCAGGAGGAACACCGGUGGCGAAGGCGGCCUGCUGGACUGCAACUGACGUUGAGGCCCGAAAGCGUGGGGAGCAAACAGGAUUAGAUACCCGAGUAGUC